ensembl:antisense Gm27221 predicted gene 27221
AAGCUCUCUGUGUCAGGUUAUAAUUCUCGGUAUUUAUGGGCACAGUGUGACCACAAGAGACAUGAGCACCCUGUAAAGCAAUGAAAGCGAGCACCUAGCAUGCCCAUCUCUUUGAGCCCGGGUCAUUUCUUUGCGUCUCUCUGACAUUUUAAAAAAAUAAAUGUAUUGAAUACUCGGCAUUUGAUAUUUUAGCACUCACACACAGGUGAGAGACAAAGCAGAAGUUCGGUGUCUCUGUUAUGCUGGGUAGCCUACUGUUUUUUAAGUCAGCGCUUACUGAGUAUCAGGUAAGGAAAGCUCAUUUAAAAUGUUCCAUUCCCACUGCUGCCGAGAGGGUACCAACCACGGACAAGGCAGAGAGAGCCCGAGAAGGCUGGAGACUGUCGCUGCUUAAGCUAUUUACCGAGGAAACCAAGCCUUGAUUUUAUACCUCACACUGCUUAGACGUGAAACAAUCCGAUCUUUAAAAACUGAGUGCAUUUACAUUCACUUUUUUUUUUGGUUUCUUUAUGACAGGGUUUCUCUGUGUGUCCCUGGAACUCACUCUGUAGAGCAAGAUGGCCAUGAACUCAGAGAUCCACCUGCCUCUGCUUCCUGAGUGCUGGGAUUAAAGCCACCCAUACUUGCUGCGGAUUAUGACAACAGAGAAGUAUAAAAGGGAGACAGCUGCAGCCAGGAUGCUAAUGACAACGAUUUGUCGUAAAUUGGUGUUCAGAAUUCGAGGACAGCCCACUGGAGAGAUGCUAAAAUGCCAAGAGGCAGGAAAGAGACAGGAAAUGCCAAUCCUGAAAUUCCAAAGAAACAGAUUUUAAAGUAACACGCUUGGAUGAGACCUGGCCUCACCUGACCAGUGUUCAGCAUGCUCUCUCCCUGCUUCCUGGCUGCUAGUGGCUCUGCUGAGCAUGCGCCACGUUGCUGUUUGGUUAUGCAGUGCAUCACUAUUAAAUGACUCGAUGAGAAU